GCUCAUAAUUUAUAAAGUAAUCCUAUGCAGUUAUGUGCACGUACACUUAUAUAUGUGACUUGUGUGGGUACACGCAUAUGGAACUGCUUGUAUAAAUAAAAUGCAAAGUCUGAUCCUUUUAACCGUUUCCACCAGCUUUCUAUUUUGGUUCCCAGGUGGGAAAGUUCCUUUUGCAUCCAGGCUUAAAAGUACUUGUUUGGCUUUUUCACUUUUCCCAGUGACAAAGUGAAUGAUGCGUAAUAGCCGCAUUUACAGAGUGCUUGAGUCACUAACCACAUACUACUUUCUUCAUGAAAAGCAGAGUUGUCAUGGCAACAGCGCAGCCUGAUAGUUAAUUCCACUUAAGUGCACGCAGAAGGUAAGAGCAGAGGGGUCUCGGGGGUCAACGAGUCCCGGUCCUGCUGCCACCCGGCCCUUCCAUCACGUUAACACAACGCCUCUCAGCUCCUUGCAGAGCUCACAGGAGAACCCCUUCUGGGCCUGAUGUUCAACCGACAUCAAUAUCGCGCCUCUACAAGGAGCCAGGAGCGAGGGAUGCAGCCCAGGUCCAGCCAUUUUCUGAGCGAGAUUUAGCCCAAGGCCCUCGGUUAGGAUAAGCUGCUGAUCCCUGCUUUGCGGACCCAAGGAUUGAAUAUGUAUUUUAAAUCACUCUGGGAAAAAAAAGGAAUGACAUAUAUGAUGUUUCAGAGGCAUGGCUGUGAUCCUCCAGCACUACAACCCACACAGAGGAUUCUCUAUGGCUGGUUACUUGAGGUGGCUGACUAAUUGCUGACAAGAAGAUGAUACCUUCGUGUCUAUUACCAAGAAAACGAGCACAGUUUUAAAACUGUGCACACAUUUUCAAGACCAAAUUUCAAGCAUGUAUUUCAAAGAUCCACAGCAUACCACAGUGAGUUGUUUCUGCUUUAGUUUGCUUCAAUCCCAUCGUCUAAUAUUAGCAGAACUGACAUUAGCUGAAUACCAACAGAAUUUUUCAUAGAUGAUUCAAAUAUAGACUGUGUAGCAGAUGUCACCUUUUCUUUGUGCUACAGUAAAAAGAAAGAAAAUGAAUAAAAUACCUGUUUUAGAGAUUUUUAAAUACA
rnacentral:lncRNA from 1 species